rnacentral:rRNA from 1 species
GGUGGCGGACGGGUGAGUAACGCGUAAAGAACUUGCCUCACAGACAGGGACAACAUUUGGAAACGAAUGCUAAUACCUGAUAUUAUGGUUAUAUGGCAUCAUAUAAUUAUGAAAGCUACAUGCGCUGUGAGAGAGCUUUGCGUCCCAUUAGCUAGUUGGAGAGGUAACAGCUCACCAAGGCGAUGAUGGGUAGCCGGCCUGAGAGGGUGAUCGGCCACAAGGGGACUGAGACACGGCCCUUACUCCUACGGGAGGCAGCAGUGGGGAAUAUUGGACAAUGGACCAAGAGUCUGAUCCAGCAAUUCUGUGUGCACGAUGAAGUUUUUCGGAAUGUAAAGUGCUUUCAGUUGGGAAGAAAAAAAUGACGGUACCAACAGAAGAAGUGACGGCUAAAUACGUGCCAGCAGCCGCGGUAAUACGUAUGUCACGAGCGUUAUCCGGAUUUAUUGGGCGUAAAGCGCGUCUAGGUGGUUAUGUAAGUCUGAUGUGAAAAUGCAGGGCUCAACUCUGUAUUGCGUUGGAAACUGUAUAACUAGAGUACUGGAGAGGUAAGCGGAACUACAAGUGUAGAGGUGAAAUUCGUAGAUAUUUGUAGGAAUGCCGAUGGGGAAGCCAGCUUACUGGACAGAUACUGACGCUGAAGCGCGAAAGCGUGGGUAGCAAACAGGAUUAGAUACCCUGGUAGUCCACGCCGUAAACGAUGAUUACUAGGUGU